rnacentral:siRNA from 1 species
GAAGAAUGAUGUCCUCUAUGC